UGGUGGAGUGAUUUGUCUGGUUAAUUCCGUUAACGAACGAGACCUCAGCUUAUUAGUUAGUUUGCACGUUCUCUCGGGAACGUCGCAAACUACCUAAAAGGACUAUCGGCUGUAUAGCCGGUGGAGGUUUGAGGCAAUAACA
rnacentral:rRNA from 1 species